rnacentral:rRNA from 1 species
GAAACAUCUAAGUACCCUUAGGAACAGAAAUCAAUUGAGAUUCCGUCAGUAGCGGCGAGCGAACGCGGAUUAGCCCUUAAGUCUGAGAAUGAUUAGGAGAACGGUCUGGGAAGGCCGGCCAUAGUGGGUGAUAGCCCCGUAUCCGAAAAUCUGAUCAGGUGAAAUCGAGUAGGUCGGAGCACGUGAAACUUUGACUGAACAUGGGGGGACCAUCCUCCAAGGCU